rnacentral:rRNA from 1 species
UACGGGGGGGGCAAGCGUUGUUCGGAAUUACUGGGCGUAAAGGGUUUGUAGGUGGCCAACUAAGUCAGACGUGAAAUCCCUCAGCUUAACUGGGGAACUGCGUCUGAUACUGGUUGGCUUGAGUGCAGGAGAGGAAUGCGGAAUUCCAGGUGUAGCGGUGAAAUGCGUAGAGAUCGGGAAGAACAUCAGUGGCGAAGGCGGCCUGCUGGGCUGUUGCUGACGCUGAGGCGCGACAGCGUGGGGAGCAAACAGG